UUUUUAAAAAAUACCUUUAUUACCCAACAUCUCAGAAGAACAUACUUACAAUUCACUUAAAAUAGCAAAAAUAAAUAUUAAUACUAAAGGUUAAAAGUAAAGUCCUUUUUUCCCCACAUCUAAUGCCUACUCCCUGUCCUUACAGAUGAUCAGGUUUGCAGGGUCUUUUUAUGUCUGUUCUUUCAGAUAUAUUCUAUGCCUAUCAAAGCAUGUAUGUAUAUUUUUACAUAAAGAAGAUUAUCCAGUAUAUACUAUACUGUAACUUUUCCACUUUAUCUCUUUCUCAGACAUCUUUCCAUAUCAGCUCUCUGUCGUAGAAUCAAUUAUACAGUUUAAAGUGAGUUUGUUAUUGAUGGGUAUUAAGUGUUUAUGGUGUUUAGUUUUUACAUCCAAUCAUCAGUGAAAGUCUGGGACAAAUACUUCUGCAUUUGUGCCACUAUAGCUUUAGACAGUAUUCCUAAGAAAAAGAUAGGACCAAAGCAUAUGUACAUUUUAAAUUUUGGCUGAUAUUACCUAUAUACCUUCCUACAAUAUUGCACCAGUGCUUCUUACUGGCAACAAUGUGUAUGAGUUUCUAUUUCCCUACACUAGCACCAAUACUGAGUAUCAUGAGACAUAAAUCUAUUAUAUUCAAAAUUGUAUCUAGUUUUAAUUUGUAUUUCCUUAAUUAGAAGAAAGGUUGAGCAUCUUUACUUCUAUUUGCAAUUUGUAUUUCUUUUAUUAUGAGUUAAAUAUUUCUAUCCUUUGCCCAUUUCGUGGUGGCAUUAUUCGUAUUUUUUGUUGUUGAUUUGUGGGAACUCUUUCUUAGAGAAACUUAGUCCUCCCCAUCAUAUGUAUUGAAGGGUUUUUUUGUAAGUUUGUCUUGUUAUUUUUUUUAUGGGUUUUUAAAGUAUAUAUAGAAGUUUUGUUUAUUUUUAAUGAAAUCAAAACUGUCUCUUCUGUAAUGGCUCUGGUUUUUUUAUGAUGCUUAGAAAGUCCUUCUCAUUAAAGAUCACCCCAAUAAUCUCCCUCACUUUGACUUAGUAAUUUUAGCAUCAUAGCCUUUUAAUAGUUAUCUGCAUGGAUUAAAACAUUGGCGUUUAAACUUUUUUUUAACCAGAAUAGUAUGAAAUACAUUUUAUAUAUCACAAUGCAGCAUACACACCUGAAAAAAUAUAUUAAGAAAAUGUUAUUUACUCAUACUACAUCUGACAUGUUAUUUUCUACUGUUUCAUUUAAGAAAAGAAAACAGUACUAAUCUGUUCAUUAGUUUCAUAGCCUACUAAUAGUUCAGAACCCAGUUUGAAAAACAUCGGAUUAGAGGAUUCCAGUUUUAAGUUCUGAAAAAUUUCUGAAUUUAUGUAAAUGUAACUUGAUGUAUCAGAAAGUUAUCUUUAAUGAGAUUCCUAGAGUUUCUGCUUUUAAAUCAGUAGUGUUUCAUAUUUGAAAAUUUUUGAAAUUCAAGGUAGGCAUGCUUAAUUGUAAACAGUUUUAACUCUGUUUAAGUUGCUUGAUGACAUGAUAGUUUUUUUCAUCAAGAUUAUAUACACACUACACUAAAGCUGUCAAGUUAGUUUUCUUAAGUUGCUUAAUAUCAAAUGUAGACUGAACACCGUCUUAGUUGAAUUUUUUACUUGUGCACGUGCAAUUGGUUCUUGUGGCAUUAUAUAGGUAUAACUUAAAUAUGAAAAGGAGUGAGAUAUAGACGGCCCUCCCAAACUCACUGUCAGAACCAGAGAUGGAAUUCAGGACUUCGUUUCCUGAAUGUUGCCUUCAUUUCCUUAUCCAAAAUUAGAUUAGUUAAUAUAUAGUCACAGAAAUAAGCUGAAAAUUAUUUUUACAAAUAUAAAUUCUGACCAGGUGUGGUGGCUCAUGCCUGUAAUUCCAGCACUUUGGGAGGCCAAGGCAGAAGCUUGCUUGAACCUAGGAGUUCAAGACCAGCCUGGGCAACAUAGGUAGACCCUAUCUCUAUACAACUUAAAAAGUUAGCCAGGCGUGGUGGCUCAUGCCUGAGGUCCCAGAUACUUGGGAGGCUGAGGCAGGAGGAUCAUUUGACCCUAGGAGGUCAAGGCUGCAUUGAGCUGAUUAUGCUGCUGCACUCCAGCCUGGGUGACAGAGCAAGACCCUGUCUCAAAAAAAAUAAAGUUUCAAAUUCUUCACAAUUAUAUUCUGAAUCAUUUAUGCUAAUUUUUAAAAAACAUUUUAAUCCUCAGGAACAGGAUCUGGACUUGGCACAUUUCUUUUAAAGGUGCUUGAAGACGAAUUCCCAGAAGUAUACAGAUUUGUGACUUCCAUUUAUCCUUCUGGUGAGGAUGAUGUCAUAACCUCACCUUAUAAUAGCAUCUUGGCAAUGAAGGAACUUAAUGAGCAUGCAGACUGUGUGUUGCCCAUUGACAAUCAAGUAAGAAAUGACAUUGGAACUUAUGAAUAAAUGUUACAUAUAUUCAGUCCUAUAUUAUGUAUAUGUGUUUAUAUGAAACAUUCUCUUCACUUUUCAGCCUUCUUAGAAAAAAAAUCAGUUUAAAUUGUUUUUCUUUCUCUUUCCUAGUAGAGUAUCAUCUACAUCCACUCUUCUUAAUAGCUUCUCUCCCAAUGUUUUUCCCUCAAAAGUCUUUAUUUGACAUCAUUAGCAAAAUCGACCUCAUGGUGAAUUCUGGAAAGUUGGGUACAACUGUGAAGCCAAAGAGUCUGGUUACUUCAAGUUCUGGGGCUUUAAAAAAGCGGCAUAAGAAGCCCUUUGAUGCAAUGAAUAACAUUGUGGCAAAUUUGCUGCUCAACCUAACGAGGUAAUUCUAUCCAGGGAUAGUCAAAAAACUUUAUUGUGCUUUUGGUGAUAUUUUGAAUUUUUGUAGUAGCAUUUUUUAGUUAUUCUAAAUUGUAGAAGCUGCUUCUGUUUUUAUUUUGUCUUCUAUCUUUUCUUGGAGUGAUCAAGCAGAAUUUUACCUUCUAUGACUCCAAAGCAGCAUUUCCCCAAGUAUGUUCCAUGGAAUAUUAAUAGAUAUCAUAUGAUGUAAAAGAUUUUGUGGUUGACACACUUGUAAAACACGUAGACAAAAUUAAACAUUUUUUAGCUGUAGAAUGUCUUAAUCAUUUAAACCAACUAAUCUGUACCUCCUCAUUAACUGGUCCAAAAGAUUUCUGUGGCUUUUUGGUAUCAGAGAUUGCUUUGACAUUAUUAUAUUCUAGAUUAUAGAGUAUAUUAAGCAGAUUCUUGAGGAAUUUAGUUGUUUCUACAGUUACUAAUUAUUGACUUAUAUGUGUUUAACUCAAAUAUAAAGUUUGUUUUAAAUAGGAUAUUUUUAUAUGUGUAAUGAGCAACUAUAAUAGUAUAUUGAUUACACUUCAGAUAAUCCAGAAAGAAUGACUGUAGGGCCAGCCAUGGUGGCUCAUGCCUGUAAUCUCAGCACAUUGGGAGGCCAAGGCAGGUAGAUUGCUUGAGCCCAGGAGCUGGAGAUCAGCCUGGGGCACAUGGUAAAAUCCCAUAUCUACAAAAAAUACAAAAAUUAGCCAGGCAAGGUGUUGUACGCCUACUGUAGUCUCAGCUGAUCAGGAGGCUGAGAUGGGAGGUGGCGGUGGCAGUGAGCUGAGAUCACACCACUACACUCCAGCCUGGGCAACCAGAGCGAGACCCUGUCUC
rnacentral:sRNA from 1 species